UACGGAGGGUGCAAGCGUUAUCCGGAUUCACUGGGUUUAAAGGGUGCGUAGGUGGGCAGGUAAGUCAGUGGUGAAAUCUCCGGGCUUAACCCGGAAACUGCCAUUGAUACUAUCUGUCUUGAAUACCGUGGAGGUGAGCGGAAUAUGUCAUGUAGCGGUGAAAUGCUUAGAUAUGACAUAGAACACCAAUUGCGAAGGCAGCUCACUACACAAUCAUUGACUCUGAGGCACGAAAGCGUGGGGAUCAAACAGG
rnacentral:rRNA from 1 species